AUACGUAGGGGGCGAGCGUUGUCCGGAAUUAUUGGGCGUAAAGCGCGCGCAGGCGGUCCCUUAAGUCUGAUGUGAAAGCCCACGGCUCAACCGUGGAGGGUCAUUGGAAACUGGGGGACUUGAGUGCAGAAGAGGAGAGCGGAAUUCCACGUGUAGCGGUGAAAUGCGUAGAGAUGUGGAGGAACACCAGUGGCGAAGGCGGCUCUCUGGUCUGUAACUGACGCUGAGGCGCGAAAGCGUGGGGAGCAAACAGGAUUAGAUACCCUGGUAGUCCACGCCGUAAACGAUGAGUGCUAAGUGUUAGAGGGGUUAAACCCUUUAGUGCUGUAGCUAACGCGUUAAGCACUCCGCCUGGGGAGUACGGCCGCAAGGCUGAA
rnacentral:rRNA from 1 species